UGAAACUCAAAUAUAUAUUCCGAUUAGAUAGUUGAGUUGACUUUGUUUUGGGAGCAUGUAAGAGGACGUUUAUGACGGGCAUCGGUUGACUCGGCCCACAACCGUAAGAGUUGAAGUCUAAAAUUGUUGACUUUUUU
rnacentral:sRNA from 1 species